rnacentral:rRNA from 1 species
CGGGACACGUGGUAUCCUGUCUGAAUAUGGGGGGACCAUCCUCCAAGGCUAAAUACUCCUGACUGACCGAUAGUGAACCAGUACCGUGAGGGAAAGGCGAAAAGAACCCCGGCGAGGGGAGUGAAAAAGAACCUGAAACCGUGUACGUACAAGCAGUGGGAGCACGCUUAGGCGUGUGACUGCGUACCUUUUGUAUAAUGGGUCAGCGACUUAUAUUCUGUAGCAAGGUUAACCGAAUAGGGGAGCCGAAGGGAAACCGAGUCUUAACUGGGCGUUAAGUUGCAGGGUAUAGACCCGAAACCCGGUGAUCUAGCCAUGGGCAGGUUGAAGGUUGGGUAACACUAACUGGAGGACCGAACCGACUAAUGUUGAAAAAUUAGCGGAUGACUUGUGGCUGGGGGUGAAAGGCCAAUCAAACCGGGAGAUAGCUGGUUCUCCCCGAAAGCUAUUUAGGUAGCGCCUCGUGAAUUCAUCUCCGGGGGUAGAGCACUGUUUCGGCAAGGGGGUCAUCCCGACUUACCAACCCGAUGCAAACUGCGAAUACCGGAGAAUGUUAUCACGGGAGACACACGGCGGGUGCUAACGUCCGUCGUGAAGAGGGAAACAACCCAGACCGCCAGCUAAGGUCCCAAAGUCAUGGUUAAGUGGGAAACGAUGUGGGAAGGCCCAGACAGCCAGGAUGUUGGCUUAGAAGCAGCCAUCAUUUAAAGAAAGCGUAAUAGCUCACUGGUCGAGUCGGCCUGCGCGGAAGAUGUAACGGGGCUAAACCAUGCACCGAAGCUGCGGCAGCGACGCUGAUGCGUUGUUGGGUAGGGGAGCGUUCUGUAAGCCUGUGAAGGUGUGCUGUGAGGCAUGCUGGAGGUAUCAGAAGUGCGAAUGCUGACAUAAGUAACGAUAAAGCGGGUGAAAAGCCCGCUCGCCGGAAGACCAAGGGUUCCUGUCCAACGUUAAUCGGGGCAGGGUGAGUCGACCCCUAAGGCGAGGCCGAAAGGCGUAGUCGAUGGGAAACAGGUUAAUAUUCCUGUACUUGGUGUUACUGCGAAGGGGGGACGGAGAAGGCUAUGUUGGCCGGGCGACGGUUGUCCCGGUUUAAGCGUGUAGGCUGGUUUUCCAGGCAAAUCCGGAAAAUCAAGGCUGAGGCGUGAUGACGAGGCACUACGGUGCUGAAGCAACAAAUGCCCUGCUUCCAGGAAAAGCCUCUAAGCAUCAGGUAACAUCAAAUCGUACCCCAAACCGACACAGGUGGUCAGGUAGAGAAUACCAAGGCGCUUGAGAGAACUCGGGUGAAGGAACUAGGCAAAAUGGUGCCGUAACUUCGGGAGAAGGCACGCUGAUAUGUAGGUGAAGCGACUUGCUCGUGGAGCUGAAAUCAGUCGAAGAUACCAGCUGGCUGCAACUGUUUAUUAAAAACACAGCACUGUGCAAACACGAAAGUGGACGUAUACGGUGUGACGCCUGCCCGGUGCCGGAAGGUUAAUUGAUGGGGUCAGCGCAAGCGAAGCUCUUGAUCGAAGCCCCGGUAAACGGCGGCCGUAACUAUAACGGUCCUAAGGUAGCGAAAUUCCUUGUCGGGUAAGUUCCGACCUGCACGAAUGGCGUAAUGAUGGCCAGGCUGUCUCCACCCGAGACUCAGUGAAAUUGAACUCGCUGUGAAGAUGCAGUGUACCCGCGGCAAGACGGAAAGACCCCGUGAACCUUUACUAUAGCUUGACACUGAACAUUGAGCCUUGAUGUGUAGGAUAGGUGGGAGGCUUUGAAGUGUGGACGCCAGUCUGCAUGGAGCCGGCCUUGAAAUACCACCCUUUAAUGUUUGAUGUUCUAACGUUGACCCGUGAUCCGGGUUGCGGACAGUGUCUGGUGGGUAGUUUGACUGGGGCGGUCUCCUCCUAAAGAGUAACGGAGGAGCACGAAGGUUGGCUAAUCCUGGUCGGACAUCAGGAGGUUAGUGCAAUGGCAUAAGCCAGCUUGACUGCGAGCGUGACGGCGCGAGCAGGUGCGAAAGCAGGUCAUAGUGAUCCGGUGGUUCUGAAUGGAAGGGCCAUCGCUCAACGGAUAAAAGGUACUCCGGGGAUAACAGGCUGAUACCGCCCAAGAGUUCAUAUCGACGGCGGUGUUUGGCACCUCGAUGUCGGCUCAUCACAUCCUGGGGCUGAAGUAGGUCCCAAGGGUAUGGCUGUUCGCCAUUUAAAGUGGUACGCGAGCUGGGUUUAGAACGUCGUGAGACAGUUCGGUCCCUAUCUGCCGUGGGCGCUGGAGAA